AGGAAGUUAUGGGAUAUGGGAGGACCGGCAAAUUAGCAUAGCAAAUCUCAUCUGAAUUUUUGGAUGAUAUUUCUAUUUAUUUUGCCGAUUCCACCCAUUCCUAUGAUUUCCUCUCGUUCCUCUCUUUCUACUCGCCUCUCCCCUCUCACUUAUUCCUUUUUGAGCUCCACGACAAGGCUAAAUUUUCUUAUUGAUCAAUAGAUCCACGAUUCCAGUUCGGUAUGCUUACUAAUAAUAAAUAUAUAUAGUACUAGAUAUUUUUAUCCUCUAUGUUUCAAGAGGAACUACUGUUAAAUAGUUUCUAAACAUUAUUGUGUAUCAUUAUCGCUGCUAAUAGUUACCGCUUGAUCCUUCAUAUUCCACCAUUAACAACAGAAAGGGGACAUCUGUAUUCUAUUUUCUUUUCA